rnacentral:rRNA from 1 species
AAAACUUUCAACAACGGAUCUCUUGGUUCUGGCAUCGAUGAAGAACGCAGCGAAAUGCGAUAAGUAAUGUGAAUUGCAGAAUUCAGUGAAUCAUCGAAUCUUUGAACGCACAUUGCGCCCGCCAGUAUUCUGGCGGGCAUGCCUGUUCGAGCGUCAUUUCAACCCUCAGGCCCCCGCCUGGCGUUGGGGAUCGGCGCGGCCCUCUCCGGGCUGCCGGCCCCGAAAACUAGUGGCGGUCUCGCUGUAGUCCUCCUCUGCGCAGUAGCAACGCUCGCACUGGAACUCGGCGCGGCCACGCCGUAAAACACCCCACUUCUGAAAGUUGACCUCGGAUCAGGUAGGAAUACCCGCUGAACUUAAGCAUAUCAAUAAGCGGAGGAAAAGAAACCAACAGGGAUUGCCCUAGUAGCGGCGAGUGAAGCGGCAACAGCUCAAAUUUGAAAUCUGGCUCUCGGGCCCGAGUUGUAAUUUGUAGAGGAUACUUUUGAUGCGGUGCCUUCCGAGUUCCCUGGAACGGGACGCCAUAGAGGGUGAGAGCCCCGUCUGGUUGGAUGCCAAAUCUCUGUAAAGUUCCUUCAACGAGUCGAGUAGUUUGGGAAUGCUGCUCUAAAUGGGAGGUAUAUGUCUUCUAAAGCUAAAUACCGGCCAGAGACCGAUAGCGCACAAGUAGAGUGAUCGAAAGAUGAAAAGCACUUUGAAAAGAGAGUUAAAAAGUACGUGAAAUUGUUGAAAGGGAAGCGUUUAUGACCAGACUUGGGCUUGGUUAAUCAUCUGGGGUUCUCCCCAGUGCACUUUUCCAGUCCAGGCCAGCAUCAGUUUUCCCCGGGGGAUAAAGGCGGCGGGAAUGUGGCUCUCUUCGGGGAGUGUUAUAGCCCACCGUGUAAUACCCUGGGGGGGACUGAGGUUCGCGCAUCUGCAAGGAUGCUGGCGUAAUGGUCAUCAACGACCCGUCUUGAAACACGGACC